GCUGUGGCUUAGUGGUAGAGCAUCUGCUUAGCAUGCAGAACAUCCCCAGUUCGGUCCCUGGCAUCUCCA
rnacentral:tRNA from 1 species